rnacentral:rRNA from 1 species
CUACGGGGGGCUCCAGUGGGGAAUAUUGGGCAAUGGGCGCAAGCCUGACCCAGCAACGCCGCGUGAGGGAAGAAUGUCUUCGGAUUGUAAACCUCUGUCCUUGGGGACGAAAAAAAUGACGGUACCCAAGGAGGAAGCUCCGGCUAACUACGUGCCAGCAGCCGCGGUAAUACGUAGGGAGCAAGCGUUGUCCGGAAUUAUUGGGCGUAAAGGGUGCGUAGGCGGCGCCGUAAGUCAGAUGUGAAAUCCCCGGGCUUAACUCGGGAGUUGCAUUUGAAACUACAGUGCUUGAGUAAAGAAGGGGUAAGUGGAAUUCCUAGUGUAGCGGUGGAAUGCGUAGAUAUUAGGAGGAACACCAGUGGCGAAGGCGACUUACUGGUCUUUUACUGACGCUGAGGCACGAAAGCGUGGGGAGCAAACAGGAUUAGAUACCCCAGUAGUC